GUAUAACCUGAAAGUGACCAGUAGCACUAUAUCUUUUGGGGGUACGAGCGAGGUGCGAGAUAUGUAAAGUCUAGCAUAGACUAGUUGUUUGAUUUUUGACUUGUACUCGUGCUAUUCCUCGAAUAGAAUGUUUUGUAUUUGGAUUGUAUACGCCUUGAACCAGUUUGAGUAUAUUGAGACUUUGUACCUCGAUUUC